UCGGUAUGAGAUGGUGAUGCGUCCGAUUAGGUAGUAGGCGGGGUAACGGCCCACCUAGCCUUCGAUCGGUAGGGGUUCUGAGAGGAAGGUCCCCCACACUGGAACUGAGACACGGUCCAGACUCCUACGGGAGGCAGCAGUGAGGAAUAUUGGUCAAUGGGCGAGAGCCUGAACCAGCCAAGUAGCGUGCAGGAUGACGGCCCUCCGGGUUGUAAACUGCUUUUAGUUGGGAAUAAAAAAAGGGACUUGUCCCUUCUUGUAUGUACCUUCAGAAAAAGGACCGGCUAAUUCCGUGCCAGCAGCCGCGGUAAUACGGAAGGUCCGGGCGUUAUCCGGAUUUAUUGGGUUUAAAGGGAGUGUAGGCGGUUUGUUAAGCGUGUUGUGAAAUUUAGGUGCUCAACAUUUAACUUGCAGCGCGAACUGUCAGACUUGAGUACACGCAACGUAUGCGGAAUUCAUGGUGUAGCGGUGAAAUGCUUAGAUAUCAUGAAGAACUCCGAUUGCGAACGCAGCAUACGGGAGUGUAACUGACGCUUAAGCUCGAAGGUGCGGGUAUCGAACAGGAUUAGAUACCCUGGUAGUCCGCACAGUAAACGAUGGAUGCCCGCUGUUAGCGCCUGGCGUUAGCGGCUAAGCGAAAGCAUUAAGCAUCCCACCUGGGGGAGUACGCCGGCAACGGUGAAACUCAAAGGAAUUGACGGA
rnacentral:rRNA from 1 species